rnacentral:snRNA from 1 species
CGCCUCUAAGUCAGAAUCCG